rnacentral:lncRNA from 1 species
CCUCGCGGGGCGCUGUCUGGCCUCCUGCCUCAUUCCCCCAUCCUGGGCAGCCUGACCAAUAACAGAUUUCUCCAUGAAAAGCCUCGAAAACUUGGGAAAUGUUUCAUCCAGGAUGAGCUCAAGGGAGAAUUGAUUGGAAGGAGGCAGGUCUGGGGGACCCCAUUCCUGGUGUUGCAGGCCUGUGGGUGCUCUGGCUGAGGAGGUGACAAAACUGACCAUAGCAUUCUGGGCAUGGAUUGGAAGCCAACUUAGGUGUACUUGGUUCUGGUGCUGGGAUCUCCCAGUGUUCAGUUAGAGGAAUUGGGUAUUAUCGGCUGGGUGUUGGGGUUUUGGCUGAGUUUCUGGAUCCAACUGUAAGGAUCUAUGUACGAGUGGGUUUGCCAUGGAAGCCUACCUAGAGGUAUCUGGUCUGGGCGUUGUGAUCUUUCCUCUCUGUCCAGCAGGGAGAGGAAGCUGAGACCACAGAGCUGGCGGUGGGUCCAGGUGAGUCCUGAGGCUCACACAGCACUCAAAGGCUACUCUGCUGCCUGUUUUCCUCCUCCCAUCAUCGUCACACAGUCCAGGACUGGCUGG